AAGGUAACCUAACUGAUAACGCAGAUGAUCCGCUCUGUGGCUGUACAAUUGUGGACAAAGACCACGAGGCUACAAUCACGACGCACGGGUUGAAGAGCUACUUCGAGUUACUUCAUAGAUAUGGUCAUGGAGGAAUUGUAAACCAACAAUACGACAGGCGUGGUAUUCUUCUUUUGAGAAAUCCAAUGGAUGUAGUUUUUACUUACAAUAAUUGGGUUUACGGCGGUAAAAAAGGCCUUGCCCCACCCGAAUCUUUUAAAGGUUCAACUUGGGACGAAACUGUAGACUAUGUUUCGUUUGCCUGGGCAGACCAUGCCAUUCGCUGGAUAGAACAAAUAGAGUAUGGAACUGUUCUCUUUUACGAAAGAUUAAUAAAUGAAUCAGCAGA